rnacentral:rRNA from 1 species
CACCAGCUCUUCAAGUGGUUGGGACUUUUAUUGGGCUUAAAGCGUCCGUAGCCUGUUUGAUAAGUUCCUGGUUAAAUCCGGCAGCUUAACUGUUGGACUACUAGGAAUACUGUCUUACUAGAGGGCGGGAAAGGUCAGGGGUACUCCGGGGGGAGCGGUGAAAUGUGAUAAUCCUCGGGGGACCACCAGUGGCGAAGGCGCCUGACUGGAACGCGCCUGACGGUGAGGGACGAAAGGUAGGGGAACGAACGGGAUUAGAUACCCCGGUAGUCCUACCCGUAAACGAUGCGCGCUAGAUGUCGGUUCUGCUCCGAGCAGUGCCGGUGCCACAGGGAAACCGUUAAGCGCGCCGCCUGGGAAGUACGCUCGCAAGAGUGAAACUUAAAGGAAUUGACGGGGAGCACCACAAGGGUGAAGCCUGCGGUUU